GUGACUACCUAACACUGUUGCUUCGGCGGGGAGCCCUCUCGGGGGCGAGCCGCCGGGGACUACUGAACUUCAUGCCUGAGAGUGAUGCAGUCUGAGUCUGAAUAUAAAAUCAGUCAAAACUUUCAACAAUGGAUCUCUUGGUUCCGGCAUCGAUGAAGAACGCAGCGAACUGCGAUAAGUAAUGUGAAUUGCAGAAUUCAGUGAAUCAUCGAGUCUUUGAACGCACAUUGCGCCCCCUGGCAUUCCGGGGGGCAUGCCUGUCCGAGCGUCAUUGCUGCCCAUCAAGCCCGGCUUGUGUGUUGGGUCGUCGUCCCCCCCGGGGGACGGGCCCGAAAGGCAGCGGCGGCACCGUGUCCGGUCCUCGAGCGUAUGGGGCUUUGUCACCCGCUCGAUUAGGGCCGGCCGGGCGCCAGCCGACGUCUCCAACCAUUUUCUUCAGGUUGACCUCGGAUCAGGUAGGGAUACCCGCUGAACUUAAGCUAU
rnacentral:rRNA from 1 species